AUUGAACGCUGGCGGCAGGCCUAACACAUGCAAGUCGAACGAGUGGCGGACGGGUGAGUAAUGUCUGGGAAACUGCCCGAUGGAGGGGGAUAACUACUGGAAACGGUAGCUAAUACCGCAUACCAUCGGAUGUGCCCAGAUGGGAUUAGCUAGUAGGUGGGGUAAUGGCUCACCUAGGCGACGAUCCCUAGCGGGUCUGAGAGGAUGACCUGCCAACCUGGAACGGAGCCACGGUCCAGACUCCUACGGGAGGCAGCAGUGGGGAAUAGUGCCCAAGGGGCUCAAGCCUUAUGCAGCCAUGCCGCGUGUAGGAAGAAGGCUGUCGGGUGGUAAAGUACUUUCAGCGAGGAGGCGUUGCUCGCAGAAGAAGCACCGGCUAACUCCGUGCCAGCAGCCGCGGUAAUAC
rnacentral:rRNA from 1 species